CAUUGAAAUAUAGCUUAGUUGGUAGAGCAUGAGACUCUUAAUCUCAGGGUUGUGGGUCCAAGCCCCACGUUGGGUGAAAGA